AUACGGGGGAUGCAAGCGUUAUUCGGAAUCAUUGGGCGUAAAGGGCACGCAGGCGGUUCUGUCAGUCAGAUGUGAAAGCCCGGGGCUUAACCCCGGACGUGCAUUUGAAACAGCAGGACUUGAGUAUGGUAGAGGAAAGCGGAAUUCCUGGUGUAGAGGUGAAAUUCGUAGAUAUCAGGAGGAACAACGGUGGCGAAGGCGGCUUUCUGGACCAAAACUGACGCUGAGGUGCGAAGGCGUGGGUAGCGAACAGGAUUAGAAACCCCAGUAGUCC
rnacentral:rRNA from 1 species